rnacentral:rRNA from 1 species
UACAGAGGGUGCAAGCGUUAAUCGGAAUUACUGGGCGUAAAGCGUGCGUAGACGGUCAUGUAAGUCGGGUGUGAAAGCCCCGGGCUCAACCUGGGAAUUGCAUUCGAGACUGCAUGGCUAGGAUGCGGAAGAGGGAAGCGGAAUUUCCGGUGUAGCGGUGAAAUGCGUAGAUAUCGGGAGGAACACCAGUGGCGAAGGCGGUUGCCUGGGGCUUUGCUGACGCUGAUGCGCGAAAGCGUGGGGAGCGAUCCGG